rnacentral:snRNA from 1 species
AGCACACCUUCGAAGUGAGGCUGC